rnacentral:rRNA from 1 species
AUUGAACGCUGGCGGCAGGCCUAACACAUGCAAGUCGAGCGGUAGCACAGAGAGCUUGCUCUCGGGUGACGAGCGGCGGACGGGUGAGUAAUGUCUGGGAAACUGCCUGAUGGAGGGGGAUAACUACUGGAAACGGUAGCUAAUACCGCAUAACGUCGCAAGACCAAAGUGGGGGACCUUCGGGCCUCAUGCCAUCAGAUGCAACCAGAUGGGAUUAGCUGGUAGGUGGGGUAACGGCUCACCUAGGCGACGAUCCCUAGCUGGUCUGAGAGGAUGACCAGCCACACUGGAACUGAGACACGGUCCAGACUCCUACGGGAGGCAGCAGUGGGGAAUAUUGCACAAUGGGCGCAAGCCUGAUGCAGCCAUGCCGCGUGUGUGAAGAAGGCCUUCGGGUUGUAAAGCACUUUCAGCGGGGAGGAAGGCGGUGAGGUUAAUAACCUCAUCGAUUGACGUUACCCGCAGAAGAAGCACCGGCUAACUCCGUGCCAGCCGCCGCAGUAAAAC